CCUACGGGAGGCUGCAGUGGGGAAUAUUGGACAAUGGGGGCAACCCUGAUCCAGCCAUGCCGCGUGUGUGAAGAAGGCCCUCGGGUUGUAAAGCACUUUCAGUGAGGAAGAACGCCUGGUGGUUAAUACCCAUCAGGAAAGACAUCACUCACAGAAGAAGCACCGGCUAACUCCGUGCCAGCAGCCGCGGUAAUACGGAGGGUGCGAGCGUUAAUCGGAAUUACUGGGCGUAAAGCGCGCGUAGGUGGCUUGAUAAGCCGGUUGUGAAAGCCCCGGGCUCAACCUGGGAACGGCAUCCGGAACUGUCAAGCUAGAGUGCAGGAGAGGAAGGUAGAAUUCCCGGUGUAGCGGUGAAAUGCGUAGAGAUCGGGAGGAAUACCAGUGGCGAAGGCGGCCUUCUGGACCGACACUGACACUGAGGUGCGAAAGCGUGGGUAGCAAACAGGAUUAGAUACCCUUGUAGUC
rnacentral:rRNA from 1 species